UGGGAAAAAGGUUACAAACUUUGAUAUGAAGAAGAAACAUUGCAAAAGGGUUCCAAGGCGGGGUUACAUUGCAAGAAAAGAGGAACAGAAAAGGCAAGAAGACAUGCGGGAAAGGCGUUUGUUAUACAUAUAUAUGAAAGAAAUAGUAAGGCUUCUUCCAAAAUCUCGUUGUUUGGAAAUAAAAAACGAUGUAUUCUCUGUGCUGACACUGGAUAGAGUACAUAAAGGAACUGAAAAAUGAAAACGCAAAGAUGUUAACAUCCAAAACCUAUAACUAGUAGCAAACUGCCUUUAACAUGUUUGUUUUACUGAACGUAAUUAUCAAUUUUCAAAAGAAGUUUUGGUUGUGGUUGCAGACGCAAUGAUGAAACAAAGAAAACAAAUUAAAGAGGGAUUUAAAAAUGAAAUGUGAUGAAUUUAGAAUCAAAAGGUAAUGGUUAGGAGAGGAUAUAUGCUUAACAUGUUUGUCGAGCUGAAAUUAUUAAUUAAAAUAUCAUUCCUCUGAUAUUUGUAGUCCCGUUAGUUGCAAUGAGUAGCAAAUGCUUUCCAUUGCUUCUUUGUAUGCUGCAAGUUGAUGACGUCCGAUCCUAAGAAAGCAAAUAAAUUCAUUUGAGCAUUCUCUAAA